AGGGAGAGAGAUUUGAAGGUGCUACACUGCUGAUUUUGAAGAUGGAGGAAGAGGUCAUGAGCCAAGAUACACAGGCUGCCUGUAGAAGGUCAAGAAGACAAGUAAAUGAUUGUUUGCAAGAGCCUGUAGAAGGAAAGCAGUUGGGCCAACACCUUGAUUUCAACCCAGUGCAACCUGUUUUGGAUUUCUGCUCUUCCGAACAGUAAGAUGAUAGAUGGGGCAUCCUCUUGACCCCGGAGAGUGAAUCUCAGCAUGUGGGGGACAACGUGGGACCCCACAAGCACUGUGCGGCCAAAGGCCCGGCGCUCGAUCACCAGGACACUGAGAGGGGGCUGCAGCCCAGCACUUCUUGGCCCCAGCCCAUGUCCUCACCACCGUCAGAUGCUUGACGAGCUCGGUGAAAUUGGGAUUCUCACGGUAACUGGCCAGGACCUCAGACUCCACUCGCCGACCCGCCACCUCCAGCACAACCUGGGGCCGCUCCACCUCGAACAGAUGCACGCGGCCAAGGCCCCUGAGACCCCAGAACAGUACCUGAAGUUGGGAAGGGGAAGAUUCAGGGGCCUGUACCUCACUGAAGGACACCCAGACGGGGGGAAGGCAGGUAGUGAGUUCACUACCUCAACGCGGAAUUCCCUGAGCACCGGGUGCACGUGGGGUGGCAAGGACAGGCAUCCAGAGAAGGGCUCAGCCAGGAGGCUCAGGUCCUGGGGCUCCACAUAGC
ensembl:lncRNA